rnacentral:sRNA from 1 species
GGAUUACUCCUUUACGCUUUCGCGUUUGGUUGAUAAAGAUUCGCACCUCUAUCAAACCGGGUAAUCCCACCUCUUGGCAAGACCUGCUGUCAGAUCAAAUCUGAACUACUACACAUUAUGAAUAGCAGCAAAGACAGAUGCCUAUAUCGCAGAAAGGCCGAUGAGAAAUCCAAGUACCUGUCCUCGGGCGAUUUGUUG